rnacentral:tRNA from 1 species
GGAUAUAUGGCUCAAAUGGUAGAGCACUUACUUAGAAAGCACCAAUCCCUGAGUUCAAACCUCAGUACCACCA